UAAAUAAUCGUGCAGGGGGAGGCGGGGGAAGGGGUGAAUUCAGCAAUGUUAAAAGCUAAACAACAGAUCUAUCUCCGGACGCUGCUGCUUCACUCAAUUGCAACUAAUAACCCAUUAAAGACAGCGCAGGGGGAACUGAAUUCUCUCCUGCAAAGCGACAUAAAUCCAGAGAAAACCCAUUAAACCACCGCCACCGCCACCAAGCCACGCAGCACUACACACCACAGCAAACAACAGUGAAGGCGAUGGUUACUGCUGUCAAUCUUGGCAAUCAAUGUGAGCGGCCAUGUCGGAACACCCGCCGUGCGGAUCCGUAUACACGUGCCGGGAAACAAGAAAACGCUUUCACUUGGAGCGUUACCCCACGUUCAGAAACGCCUUUGGAAUGACUGCUGCCCUGGCUUUGGCUUCAUGAAGGCUGAAGGCAGGCAGAUGCUGAGGAGGGAUGCUGACCUGCUGGGGGUGCCUGCACAGGGAAGGGACUGCAGGCGCUCACAUCAGGUCGGGGCACUUACCUGUGCACAGCUGUCAUGGCAUUUUGCGCCGUGUGUCUCACCAAAUGCCUUAAAGUAAAGCAAUGUUCAACAAGCGAGGCAACCUGUCUGUGUGCUAAGUUGUACGUACCGCAUCUUUAACCUGAGCAGCAAACCUGCAACUCCUGGAGAGUUGGCGGAACAGCCUCAGAAGUUUUGGACUCAAAGGGCGAGAAAUUUCACUUUAAAAGUCAUUCACCCACUUCUAAACUGCCCUUUCACCCCAGUUAAUGCCGGACAAUUAAGAGGCAUGUUUCUAAAUUCCCUCUGCGGACACUGUCCGACAAUGAAGGCUUGUUACAGGCUUGCUAAAGAUGUUCAGAGAAACUUUUGCGAAAUAAUCAACAGCAUCUGAGAGAAAGCUAAAGGAAAAGAAGUUAAAGCCUGAUAAUCCGAUUGGGAAAAAGUUUUGUUAGACUAGAUAGAAGUAAAUUACUGCACGUUUCUUCAAAAGCAAACCCAUCAGCUGAUACGAGUUCCCCUGGAACAAGAACCUCUGGCGAACUCCUCCAAAUUUAGGGGACGUUUGCAUUUUGUAACACUCAAAGCUAAAGAUCUGCCUGAAAACAAAAACUCUGAAUUCCUUACAGCGUCAUCUGCCAACAAAAUGUAUUGUCUUGGCAGAGAAAGGAUCAAGGAGAUUUUAAUUUCAUUUUAAACUGUGCAUCAUCUUGAUAGCAAAGGAAAAAGCCGCAGCAACAAUCUCCCCGCUCCACGCCCCCGCCGUUAAAAAAAAAAAAAAAAAAAAAAGGGGGGGGGGAAAGAGAGAACUGGAAAAA